rnacentral:rRNA from 1 species
GACGAACGCUGGCGGCGUGCUUAACACAUGCAAGUCGAGCGGUAAGGCCUUUCGGGGUACACGAGCGGCGAACGGGUGAGUAACACGUGGGUGAUCUGCCCUGCACUUCGGGAUAAGCCUGGGAAACUGGGUCUAAUACCGGAUAUGACCUCCUAUCGCAUGGUGGGUGGUGGAAAGAUUUAUCGGUGCAGGAUGGGCCCGCGGCCUAUCAGCUUGUUGGUGGGGUAAUGGCCUACCAAGGCGACGACGGGUAGCCGACCUGAGAGGGUGACCGGCCACACUGGGACUGAGACACGGCCCAGACUCCUACGGGAGGCAGCAGUGGGGAAUAUUGCACAAUGGGCGAAGGCCUGAUGCAGCGACGCCGCGUGAGGGAUGACGGCCUUCGGGUUGUAAACCUCUUUCAGCAGGGACGAAGCGCAAGUGACGGUACCUGCAGAAGAAGCACCGGCUAACUACGUG